rnacentral:rRNA from 1 species
GCGCGUAAAUUGCCCGAAUCCUGACACAGGGAGGUAGUGACAAGAAAUAACAAUACAGGGCUAUCUUAGUCUUGUAAUUGGAAUGAGUACAAUUUACAUCUCUUCACGAGGAUCAAUUGGAGGGCAAGUCUGGUGCCAGCAGCCGCGGUAAUUCCAGCUCCAAUAGCGUAUAUUAAAGUUGUUGCAGUUAAAACGCUCGUAGUCGGAUUUCGGGGCGGGGCCGCCGGUCUGCCGAUGGGUAUGCACUGGCGGUCGCGUCCUUCCUUCCGGAGACUGGCCCUACUCUUAACUGAGCGGGGUCGGGAGACGGAUCGUUUACUUUGAAAAAAUCAGAGUGUUUCAAGCAGGCAGCUCGCUCUUGCAUGGAUUAGCAUGGGAUAAUGAAAUGGGACUUUGGUGCUAUUUUGUUGGUUUCGAACACCGAAGUAAUGAUUAACAGGGACAGUCAGGGGCACUCGUAUUCC